rnacentral:rRNA from 1 species
UACGAAGGGUGCAAGCGUUACUCGGAAUUACUGGGCGUAAAGCGUGCGUAGGUGGUUUGUUAAGUCUGUUGUGAAAGCCCCGGGCUCAACCUGGGAAUGGCAAUGGAUACUGGCAGGCUAGAGUGCGGUAGAGGGUAGUGGAAUUCCCGGUGUAGCGGUGAAAUGCGUAGAGAUCGGGAGGAACACCAGUGGCGAAGGCGGCUACCUGGACCAGCACUGACACUGAGGCACGGAAAGCGUGGGGAGCAAACAGG